GUGGUUGAAAAAGAUGAAAGUGCUGCAAAAGAAUCUGUUUGGACUGCUCGUGAUGCUGAUAACAACAGGUGUUUGAAGUAUACGUUUAGCAGGAGGCGGAAGAAGGUUUCAUCGUCUGAAUCUUAUAAACCAAGUUUCAACCUUGAAAACGAGAAGCUGAUUGAUGAUUCAUCUGAUAGCCAAAACAUAAUUGAUGUUGCUUGCCAGUUGAUUUCCUUGUCUGGGGAACGUAGUCGGUGAAAGCGCUCAGUUCUUCGAAACUUCAUCUCCAAGCAAUAGUGAGCAACUUGUAUAUGCGAAAAGGUAUAAUCUAUGGAAGUCCUUGAGGUUAUUUUUGUUUUGGGGGUGAAAGUAAAUACUAAGUUAAUCAAGUUUAAUCCUCCAUCCUUGUAAAUUGGUAAACCAUGAUGCCAAUUGCUUUGCUCAGUCAAACUUAGUUGCCAGCCCACCAGUAGUUAAUUUAAACUUCAAGUUUGGACUUGUAUUGUUACGCGUUAAAAUAUAUGAGAUCUCGAGUUAUAUUUAU
rnacentral:lncRNA from 1 species